CCUCUCCUGCCUCUCAGCCGCUAACGGCCUCUCCCGAAACAGGUGGGAUGCUGACAGCCAUCCUCCAGGGAGCAGGUCCCACACGGCAGCUCAGGUGCUCAUAACGGAGCACGGGGGCAGGCAGACACACAGGCCCAGGCCACCAGAGAAACCCUCACGAGGGGCACCCCUGUGCCCUGCCCCGCCCUCCCCCCCGGACCCAGCAAGGUGACGGGCUCACCUGUCGGCCGACCACCAUGGGCCCGGCAUCACACGAGGCCUUGUGCGUGCAGAGAUGCUGCCAGACACACCAGUUACACCCCCAGUGGCUGCUCACGCAGGCCUGGCACCUGCACAGAGCACACUCAUGGGGGCGCGGGGGCACCACGGGGCAGCCCAGGGUGGGGGGAGCACCGGGGGUCGGGGUGAGGAACUCACGGUGCCGACGGGCGGAGCAAGGUGACGGCCACGCAGUCGUAGAAGGAGAGGGCAGCCUCAGCAAUCAUGACGGCGCCAAACCUGAGCUCCAUGCUCACGGACACGUGGUCUGCAGAGAGGGGAGGGGCUAGGCUGAGAACAGGGGAGGGGCACACGGAUCCCAAGACCACGCCGGGUUUGGGAUCAGCACUCCAAAGGUCAGGGACACAGUCCACAGAGUAGGAAAGAGGGACUUGAGAGGACCCGGGAGCAGAUGGAGGAUGCAGAGAAAGGUACCGCUUUGGAGACCUUUGCCUGGAGGCCCCACCUCUGGACCCUCACCCCUCCCAGGUACAAGUCACCCCGUACCCAUGAACUGCCCCUCAUGGACAGUACACAUGGGCCUGUGCACACACACAGCCAUCAGACGUGUGCACUUGGAUCUGGGCAACCCCAUCACUGCACACGGGUGACCCUGCACGCAGGGGCCAGCACACUGCAAGCGGGUGACUGUGCCCCAGAACUCAGCCCAGGCUGUUCCUGCUGCUACUCACCGGCUUCCCCUCGGGCCCAGCCACGCCACGCUCUCCUGGCAGACCCUAGAGAGAACGUGUUUAUGGCCACACCAUCUCGUCCCCCAUCCCAGCUUCCCCUGAGACAGUCCCGGGCAGAGCAGACUCCAGCCCAGACAACACAGGUGAGAGCCGUGUGCUGCACGCACGCGGCGCCGCGGGGCAAGGACUCACUGGGCUGCCGUUCUGACCCCUCUGUCCAGGCUCUCCCCGGUCGCCCUUGA
rnacentral:lncRNA from 1 species